rnacentral:lncRNA from 1 species
AAGACUAAGAAAGCGGCGGCUAACAAUCUGCUAAGUCAAGCGGUGGCUGAGAGGAAUUAGUUGAAGCUGACUCAUUUGUUUGGGCGGUGACAAGAGGAAUGAAAGAAACAGCCUCCUUCCUUUCCUGCUUUCUUUCUAAAACAGAAUCGAGGGUGUAAAACUGAGAGAGAGGAAAAUAUUUCUGGUUUCUCGUUGUUUCAGCUUGCCAGCGAGAGAGUGAGGGAGAGAGUUAGACAUUUGCUAGCUUCAUUCUCCAGCUUGCAACCAAGGGAGUGAAGGGGAGAGUGACCAUUCCUUUUACCACUUCAACCGUGAGAGCCAGCCACAAAGCAAGAAGGAUCGCAGUUCAUCGAGCUAAGAAUGGGAGAGAGAAACCAGAAUUUUAUUUUCCUAACUUAGAGCCAUAAGAAUCCAGAGGUAAACUACUGUCUUCCUCUUCCAUUUCUUCUACGUUUAGCUAGUAGUCUUUUAGACUGAGUUGGAACCAAGUAAAGAAGGAAACUUUCAAGAAAGCAAAGAUCAACAAAGCUGGAAAUGUCCGUUUGAAGUUGUUAUCCGAUAUUGAUGAGCUAAGCUGUAAUUUUCUUGUUGUUUCUUAUGUUGUAUGCACUCUCUAGCCAUAUAUCUUGACAUACAUACAGAUUAUAUCUUCAAAUAAAACCUGUUAAGAUGAAAUUAUGAUGAACUGCUGGCUGGAAUUCUUAAUACAAUGAAGGAUGAUUGCCGAUGGGGUAAAGUGGGAAAGAAUUUCGGUUUCUGGCCAAAAAUUUUGUUGAAACUGGUUAGAACUUGUUUGGUGCACCGUCGGUGACCUUAAUCUGACCAUGCAUGUAAUGUUUGAAGUGUUAAAAACAAGAAAAAAAUGAACUUUGAAAGCAACACGAAAGCUGGUGAAAGGAAAACUAGAGGAACCGAAGCAGAAAUAGUGCAGGCUGCAACUACUGAAUUCCAAGGUAAAGAGGUAAGAUUUUGUAACAACCACUCACUUAUUUAGUAUAACGGAAUGUAUAUAUGAGCUGCAUGUGAAUUUAGCAAAGAAAAUGGGACCUUAGCUAAGGUGAAACUCUGCUUUGAAGGAGAUAAACUGUUGGACAAAUUUGAAAGAAAUUAGGAACUGUUGUUGAACUUCAGCUCAUAAAUGAUGGAAAAUUUGUAUAUAACCUCUCGAUCAUCUCAUAUAUUUGAAUAUGUAUGUUGUGUGCUGGACCCUGGCCAAGGAAACUAAGUUUUGUUACAGGAUAGUCUUGUUUAGAACUGAUAGCUGCUGAAGGAAAUCUGGUGCAGGCUGCUAUGCACCAGAUUUAGCAGUCUUGUACAGACCUGCAAUUCCACUCAGUUUUCCUGUAAGUCCCGAUCAUGGACUGUCCCGUUAGGUUAGGAUAACCUACGAUAGAUUAAGUACCCUUUGCAUGAAUGAUUGAGACCAAAAAACUGAGGAAGAAAAGGUAAGAAAAUGUCUAAUGAUAAACUAUGAUUUUGCUGGAAAUUUUAUGACUGCAACCGAAAGAGAAAAGAAAGAACUUUGGCUAUCCCCUGCAACCCUUAGCUCUUAAACCUGUGUAGUAAGCUGUAACAUCCAUAAGCUUCAACAAGAAAGACAGAAACGAGUAGAAACACAACUAAACAUUAAGGGAGGAAUGACUGCAGGUGAAAGCAGAAUGUUGGCCGAGGGAGUGAAGCAGCAUGUGCUUCUGUCCGGCCAUUUUUGACCCUGAAAAUGUGAGAACUGGGUGUCGAUGUCUUCAUAAGAAAUGUAGGUCUAUAUCUUAGCUUUGAAACGCUAUAAAAUUCGUCUCAAUCCGAUAAGUAUAGCUCCAGUUAUGAUCCAAACACCAGAGGGUGGCAAAGCUGCCUUUCUUGUUUCCUGAAUGCAUUUUUGCGAUAAUGCUAGCCGUGAGAAUCAACUUUUAAUCAGCAUUUCAUCUAAUUUCCAGCUCUGUAAGCUUUCAUAAAUGAUAAUUACGAUUGUUAAAUGAUAGCUACGAUUGUUCUGAGAAUUAACAGCUAUACCUAGUUCCACGAGUAGAGUUAAACUAAGGCAAUUGAGUGAAAAACUCACGAUAGUUAUAUACGUAAAGUGGCCUCUAAUUAUUUAAUAUUGUCUUCACAAAUAUUUUAAGGCUGUAAAAUUUGAGCGACUGGUGUAAUGGAAUAAAAUCUAAUUACCAAAUAACCUAGGGUUUAAUUAAUUAAAAGGGAACCAAUGGAAUACUUCUAAGCCUUAAUUUUGGAAUCUUGAGUGGAAUAUGAUUUAAUCCUAAAAUAAAUAUCUUAUAAAUUAUUAACUUAGGAAAACAGGUAUAAUUCUUAAUUAAAACAAUAAAGUCAACAAGUUUCAAAAUAAAAUGAUAAAUGAAUAUUGAAUAUAUUAUAUUUGUACUUUAAAGUCAAACUUGAUUUUAAUAGUUCAAGUGAUAAAGUAAGAACAAUAAGUGAACAUCUACAAACUAUGUAUUUGAUUUGGAAUUAUUAACUUGUCUAGAAAGUAGCUAUGAACCAGAAAAACUGACUCGAGACUCGAGAGUAAUUUAUUUGGAUAUUUGGUGAGUGUUUUUCGAAUUUAUGUGUUAAACUGCUUAUGUGUACCUAAGUGAAAUUAUGUGACAAAUGUGUUUAUUAUGAAUUAUUACUAAAUGAUUCAGUGUAAAGUGUAUCUCAAUUGUGCCUCGCCUUCUAAAUCGAGAGUGUACUUUAUCGCACUCGACUUAGUUGAGCUUGAAGGUCGAUAAUUGACUGAAUGUUACUGUAAGUGUGCAUGAAUGUAAGCCGUAUGUGUGCCUCGCCGCAUCGGCUGAACUGGGCCCCAAAACCCUCUGUUCAACGGACUAUUCGAGCCAGCAAAGGGGUUGGUCCGGUAGGACGGUAGCUUUGGGUAAAUGUUUCGGUAUACUCGAGUAUUACCAUGAGGUUGGGAGAUCAUUGCACUGAUUACUGAAUGUAAGGGAUUGUUUAUUGUUUUGGACAACAUAAGGGGUGAAUUGGGAGAAAGUACAGUGAUAUUGAAAUGAAUGUGCAAUGAUAUUGAAAUUAAUGUACAAUGACAGUGAAAUGAGUGUCUCUUGACACUAAAAUGAAUGCUCAAUGACAUUGAAGUGGCUCUAAUACGAGCACCGUAUCCUUUUAAAAGUGAUUGUUCAGUGAAGUGAAGUGUUUCCUCAAUUGCUUAAUGAAACUGAUUGUACAGUGAAAUGUACACUACUUGCUUAACUGUACUGAUUUAAGUGCUUAUUGAUUGUUGCUUGCAUGAAAACCUCACGGGCAUAAACUCACCCUUUUAGCUUUGUUUUCCUUACAGGAGUCGAAGAUUGAAGAGUGAUUGGAUUGAACUAGAAAGUUAUUUUGGGAAGAUUCGUUAUUCUGUGUAUAUAGUGUAGUCAUGGUCUCUUUUGAAUUUUAAGAUGGUUGAAUUUUUGUUUGAGUUGGUGUGAUAUUAAGAUUGGAUAUUUAGAGCAGGUAUUUUGUUUCUUUUAUUGGACAAAUUUAUGUUUCAAACUAAUUGGAGAUGUACUUAAG